CAAAUUAGAGCUUGAUUGUAAGUAUUUCAUUUACAUUGAAAAGAUAUUAUUUAGUAAAUAGUUAAUUUGG
rnacentral:tRNA from 1 species